UACGGGGGGAGCAAGCGUUGUUCGGAUUUACUGGGCGUAAAGGGCGCGUAGGCGGUCGUGACAAGUCACUUGUGAAAUCUCCGGGCUUAACUCGGAACGGUCAAGUGAUACUGUCGGACUAGAGUACAGAAGGGGCAACUGGAAUUCUUGGUGUAGCGGUGAAAUGCGUAGAUAUCGAGAGGAACACCUGCGGCGAAGGCGGGUUGCUGGGCUGAUGCUGACGCUGAGGCGCGAAAGCCAGGGGAGCGAACGGG
rnacentral:rRNA from 1 species